rnacentral:lncRNA from 1 species
UGUAAUAUCCACACUCAGCUUGCAAGUUGGUCUGUGCUCCUGCUGCUACGAUACUAACAGGAACAGGAGAUAUUCAGGUGUGUUUGGACAUAGCAAUCAUUUCUGUGUGUAAAUACCGAAGUGAAAUUACCUUCCAUUUUUAGUUCCCUGCUUUUUGAAGGGGCCUCUUAUGUGARUUGCUUUGUCCAUCAUGUCGGAUAGCCGGUAAAAAGAGGGUGUGAGGAAUGCACCUGUGGAUGCAGAGUGAUAACAUGGAUACUCAACCACCUGAAACAGAACCGCCCCAGGAGAGGAAGAGGAGGAAGCAAGAUACAAUAACUGUGGUUUCUGAGGAACUUUGUAUGGAAAUGAAACAAUAACAGAGCAGAAGAUCAACARUUCCAGGCACAGAAGACUUGCUGAUUCUACACCAGAAUAGGCUGAAGCUGAGACCACUGAGGAGGUGAACAAGGAAAAGAGUCAUCAGACCUGGUUUGGAGGCCACGCCAGCACUCUAGAAGUCAAGAAAGCUGACUGACUUCAACAUGAAAAUACAGACCCCUCUGUGCAUUGCCUAUGCAGGAUCAGGCUCUAAGUAGCAAAGAAAUCUACUACAAUCCCAUCUUUGYCAAUUAAGUGUCUUCUGCUUCUAAAUCGAAGUGAACGUCAAUGUUAAUUUUAAAAUAUUGCUGGCAUUUAUCACAGUAAUUACUUUGGCCAUGUAAAACUCCAGACGCAAUAAAUAGUGUUGAUACUAUAGAUUGAAUGCUCCC